rnacentral:rRNA from 1 species
AGACCGAUAGCGAACAAGUACCGUGAGGGAAAGAUGAAAAGCACUUUGGAGAGAGAGUUAAACAGUACGUGAAAUUGUUGAAAUGGAAACGCUUGAAGUCAGUCGCGUUCUCUGGGAUUCAGCCUGGCUUUUGCUUGGUGCAUUUCCCGGUCUACGGGCCAGCAUGAAUUUUGACCAAUGGAAAAAGGCUUGGGGAAUGUGGCACCUUCGGGUGUGUUAUAGCCCCUUGUCACAUACGUUGGUUGGGAUUGAGGUCUUAGUGCACGCUUCGGUUGUGCUUUGAUGCUGGCGUAAUGGCUUUAAACGACCCGUCUUGAAACACGGACCAAG